AUUGGACAAUGGGCGAAAGCCUGAUCCAACCAUGCCGCGUGUGUGAAGAAGGUCUUCGGGAUUGUAAAGCACUUUAAGUUGGGAGGAAGGGCAUUAAACUAAUACGUUUGUUUUGACGUUACCGGACAGAAUAAGCACCGGCUAACUCUGUGCCAGCAGCCGCGGUAAUACAGAGGGUGCAAGCGUUAAUCGGAAUUACUGGGCGUAAAGCGCGCGUAGGUGGUUUGUUAAGUUGGAUGUGAAAGCCCCGGGCUCAACCUGGGAACUGCAUUCAAAACUGACAAGCUAGAGUAUGGUAGAGGGUGGGUGGAAUUUCCUGUGUAGCGGUGAAAUGCGUAGAUAUAGGAAGGAACACCAGUGGCGAAGGCGACCACCUGGACUGAUACUGACACUGAGGUGCGAAAGCGUGGGGAGCAAACAGGAUUAGAUACCCUGGUAGUCCACGCCGUAAACGAUGUCAACUAGCCGUUGGGAGCCUUGAGCUCUUAGUGGCGCAGCUAACGCAUUAAGUUGACCGCCUGGGGGAGUACGGCCGCAAGGUUAAAACUCAAAUGAAUUUGACGGGGGCCCGCACAAGCGGUGGAACAUGGGGUUUAAUUCGAAGCAACGCGAAGAACCUUACCAGGCCUUGACAUCCAAUGAACUUUCCCAAGAGGAUUGGGGCCUUCGGGAACAUUGAGACAGGUGCUGCAUGGCUGUCGUCAGCUCUGUCGUGGAAGUUGGGGUUAAUCCCCGUAACGAGCGCAACCCCUUGUU
rnacentral:rRNA from 1 species